AGCAUGUGCAAAGGGAGGUAGGGGGUGUAAGAAGGGAAUAAAGAAGGAGACUGAAGCAGAGAAGUGAUGGAAAGGAGGAACACAGUGGAAGCAAAGAAAAACAAAAGGGAAGAAGGCAGAAUGCCGUACAGAAAAUCUGGAGUCGAAGUUGUCAGGCUUUGUAACUCGGAAUAUAGUAGAGGAAGAAAGGGUAGGAUAAAUUAGAAAGGAGGCUUGUAGGAAGAAAGAGACUGCCAAGAAGAGGACCUGGGAGCGGAAGAGAAAAGUGGUCAAAGACACGGAGGAAGGGGAUCGUCAGAGGAAUAGAGGUGACCAGACAGAGAAAGGAAAGGGCCACGGAGAAGAGAAGAACGUAGAAAAGCACCAUACUAGGCACAAAGGAAAAAAUGAAAAAUCCCUGAUCUAAAGAAGAUUAAAUCCUAUUUGAGGAAACAACAUAUACACAUAAAACUAUUUGCAAAAUACAGAAAAACUAAAUACAAGGUAUUAGAGACACUCAACUAAAGUGAAAAACAAUCUCUGACCUCAAGAAGCUUAUUUCCUCCUCGGAGGGUACAAGAUAUACUCUGAGAAGUAAAUACAAAGCUAUCUCGGGAUGCAAAGAAGACUGACAGCUAAAG